rnacentral:rRNA from 1 species
GUGGGGAAUAUUGGACAAUGGGGGCAACCCUGAUCCAGCAAUGCCGCGUGUGUGAAGAAGGUCUUCGGAUCGUAAAGCACUUUCGACGGGGACGAUGAUGACGGUACCCGUAGAAGAAGCCCCGGCUAACUUCGUGCCAGCAGCCGCGGUAAUACGAAGGGGGCUAGCGUUGCUCGGAAUUACUGGGCGUAAAGGGCGCGUAGGCGGCUCUGUUAGUCAGGCGUGAAAUUCCUGGGCUUAACCUGGGGACUGCGCUUGAUACUGCGGUGCUUGAGGCCGAGAGAGGGUGGUGGAAUUCCCAGUGUAGAGGUGAAAUUCGUAGAUAUUGGGAAGCACACCGGUGGCGAAGGCGACCACCUGGCUCGGUACUGACGCUGAGGCGCGACAGCGUGAGGAGCAAACAGGAUUAGAUACCCGAGUAGUCC